GUAAGGAAUCUUUCGCAAUGGGGGCAACCCUGACGAAGCAACACCGCGUGGAGGAUGAAGGCGUUUUCGUUGUAAACUCCUUUUUUGAGGGAAUAAAUCUGAAGGUACCUCAAGAAUAAGCAUCGGCUAACUACGUGCCAGCAGCCGCGGUAAGACGUAGGAUGCAAGCGUUAUCCGGAAUUAUUGGGCGUAAAGAGUUCGUAGGUGGUCUGUUAAGUUGGAUGUCAAAGCCAUGAGCUCAACUCAUGACAGGUGUUCAAAACUGGCAGGCUGGAGACAGGCAGAGGUAGGUAGAAUUCUGUAUGUAGGGGUAAUAUCCGUAGAUAUACAGAGGAAUACCAAAAGCGAAGGCAGCCUACUGGGCCUGUUCUGACACUCAAGAACGAAAGCGUGGGGAGCAAACGGGAUUAGAAACCCUAGUAGUCC
rnacentral:rRNA from 1 species